rnacentral:rRNA from 1 species
UUAACGCGAAGGAACCUUACCUGGGCUAGAAUGCCUUUGACAGCCGUAGAGAUACGGCCUCCUGGGUAAAACCAGGCAGAGUGCAAGGUGCUGCAUGGCUGUCGUCAGCUCGUGUCGUGAGAUGUUGGGUUAAGUCCCGCAACGAGCGCAACCCUUAUCAAUAGUUGCCAGCGGUUCGGCCGGGCACUCUAUUGAGACUGCCGUUGACAAAACGGAGGAAGGUGGGGAUGACGUCAAGUCCUCAUGGCCUUUAUGUCCAGGGCUACACACGUGCUACAAUGGCAAGUACAAAGCGCUGCAAAAGAGCAAUGGGGAGCCAAUCGCAAAAAGCUUGUCUCAGUUCGGAUUGGAGUCUGCAACUCGACUCCAUGAAGCUGGAAUCG